rnacentral:rRNA from 1 species
UAAGCGUGUGAUGAAUUUGUGGCUCAACCAUAAACUGUUACACGAGCUGGCAUACUAGAGUAUAUGAGGGGAAGCUAGAAUUCCUGGUGUAGGAGUGGAAUCCGUAGAUAUCAGGAGGAAUACCAAUGGCGUAGGCAGGCUUCUGGCAUAUUACUGACGCUAAGGCACGAAAGCGUGGGGAGCGAACGGGAUUAGAUACCCGGUAGUCCACGCCGUAAACUAUGGAUGCUA